UGCUAAUAUUGAAAGCUCAAUGGCUCCUCCCCACUUCUCUGAGUCAAGAAUCCAAGCACAAUACUCUUCGUUUGGCUUUCCAAGAAAUGCUUCAUUAUACUUCACUGGAUCACUGGCCACAGUUGCAGCUAUAACCUGUCUCAACUCAGGCGCUUUGUUUCUGUCAUUAUCCAUAACGUACCCAACAGCGUUGAAAAGGCAACUGUUAUCUGAGGGAAUGACCCUUCUAACAAUGAUUCCUUCCAUGCACAGGCUUUUUUUUUUCCGGAAAAAGGAACAAAAUGAACAGAUGAGAGACCGUGAGAUAAGAGAGAGGAGUGUUCUUGGUGUUUUUUGGGUAUUGGGAUAAAAAGUG
rnacentral:misc_RNA from 1 species